AUUGAACGCUGGCGGCAGGCCUAACACAGGCAAGUCGCACGAGUGGCGGAAGGGUGCGUAAUGUCUGGGAAACUGCCCGAUGGCGGGGGAUAACUCCUGGAAACGGUAGCUACUACCGCAUAACAUCAGAUGUACCCAGAUGGGUUUAGCUAGUUGGUGGGGUGACGGCUCACCAAGUCGACGCGCCCUAGCUGGUAUGAGAGGAUGACCAGCCGCACGGGAACGGAGACACGGCCCGGACUCCUACGGGAGGCAGCAGUGGUGAAUAUUGCACAAUGGGCGCGAGCCUUAUGCAGCCAGGCCGCGUAUAUGAUGAUGGCUUUCAGGUUGUAAAGUACUUUCAGCGAGGAGGCGUUAACCGCAGAAGAAGCACCGGCGAACACCGGGCCGGCAGCCGCGGUAAUAC
rnacentral:rRNA from 1 species